UACGGGGGGGGCAAGCGUUGUUCGGAAUUACUGGGCGUAAAGAGCUCGUAGGCGGCCUGUUGCGUCCGCUGUGAAAGCCCGGGGCUUAACCCCGGGUCGGCAGUGGAUACGGGCAGGCUAGAGGUAGGUAGGGGAGAAUGGAAUUCCCGGUGUAGCGGUGAAAUGCGCAGAUAUCAGGAGGAACACCAAUGGCGAAGGCAGCUCGCUGGGACGGUACUGACGCUGAGACGCGAAAGCGUGGGGAGCAAACAGG
rnacentral:rRNA from 1 species